AGGGACCAACAAGCUGAUCAAGCUCGCUCAAGCUGAACGAGUUGAACCAGGUAGAACGUCCUGAACGGUCGUGAAGUCGUGAAAGCGGGGAAGUGAUAGCGCGCAUGGUACAAACGGUACAAACGUCCAUAUGCGAGUUUUGUUGAUGUGUGAAGACGUGAGCAGAGUGUGGAUAUGUCAAAUAGUGAAUAGUUCUGAAUAGCUCUAACCCACCCUACAUUGUGUAUAGAGCAACCGAAGCAACCUCUGGUGAAUGGCGCGGCAUCCUAGUCCUUUGAAAAUGAGUGAAUCCACAGUUUGAGCCGUUUGAGCCACACUGAAGGAAAUUUCUCUACAGUUAAGACGCCAUUGGUACAGAUCUAUUCUUUCAAAUUUCAGGUCACUCCAACAAUGUGGGAAAAUUAUAUUGACAGAAGUACAAAGCAGAAACUUCUAUAUAGAAUAUGAAAGCUGUAGCUAUUGCUCCUAGUUUUGAACAUUCCUCCAAGUCAGAAAAUGAUUCAGAUGACUGGACCCCCACCACCAUGAGGGAUACAGAAUGUUUUAUGGAGGUUCAGAUGAGACACAUCAGAACCGUAGUCACCUGGGCGACACAAGCCAACUUGUGCAUUCAUAUUCGCUCCAUCAAGGUGGUGGAGGAUGCAUUUUCAAUGCAUUUCAUUACUCAUGGCUGAUGUGACAUUGUCUGCAUAAUUAUGAAUGUGGGAGAGGUGGGAUGAUUUUAUGCUUUACAAACUAUAGCAGCAUUUCAACUCAUAGAAAUACUUGUUGAUUAUGUCUCCUCAACAUGAUGAAAUCUAUUCAGAUAUUUCAAAAUAAAUGCUCUAAAAGGGUAGUAAAAUUUUACUCCAGACAUAACACUUCCAUUGCUGUAAAGGUGAAAUAUAUUGUAAUUAAUGAUUUCCAUCCUGUAGUUUUUCACGGCCAUUAAAAGGAGGUAAUGCCCUUGAA